rnacentral:lncRNA from 1 species
GUCCGUUUCGGGACUGGCCUACGUCGUCAUCUGGGAAGUGCAGAACAUCCUGUGUGAUGCCGUAAAGGUAUUCUUGAUCCCUUGAGUGUUGCUCCCCAGUUUCCUGACUGACGGGCAAGGGCCCUUUCCGUGAAGUGUCAUCUUUGGCAACUGCUCUUUCUUGCUCGCUACUGCCGUGCUCGAGAGAAACGUCCGCCGGGACCCAGCCUACAAGGCUCCGUUUGGGAAGGUGGAGAUGCAUAGCGUUCGCACUCUCGAACGAACCCCCGCAGCCUCCUGUCUGCAGUCCCCUUAUAUGCACCCUUGGUGUGCUCUCUACCGCCUGCCCCUGUUCCUUUGGCACUUUGGCAUACUCAUGUUCGGUUUGAUUCGAAAGUAUUUCUUGAUGGCCACAGCAGGUCCCGACUACAGCAUCAACCCUCUCGUCUCUUACAGUCUGCGAAUCUGUCAUGAAUCCACUCCCAACGAGGAGAUUUGAAGCUUUUUCCGCACUCCAGCGCUCGGGGAAGCUGUGUUGGAUCACGCGCAGCUCCGGUUCUUCAAGCGCAUCCGCUCCUGGCGUUUCUGAUCUUGUCUGCAUGCUCACCGGCUGUCUGCAGUCGCAUUUAUUAUCAUCAUGCAUAUCAGUGUUUUCUGAUUGGCUCCAUUGUAUCUGGCGGUUCUUGCUGACAAUGGCAUUUUUCUCUAUCUUCUCCAUGGAAGUCUCAUUUUUGGUCUGUUCUGGCACUUGUGUCGCGUUCGCAGCCGCCAGAACAGUCGCACUUUGUGUCUCUAGUUCCGAAGAACACUUUGCCACGCCUUCUACGGCAGAUGCGCCUAACUCCCGAUGCUCUUCGUGGUCUCGUGGGGGAUUCCACGGCUUCAGCGUUGCGUCGAACCCCCUUCUUUUACUCCGGUUACUGCAAGCGUUCGGUCUUCGCUCUGAAAUGCUGGUGUCUGAGGCGCUGCCAACUUGCAGCAGCCCACUGGCGGCAAGGAAGUUCGAAAAGUGCAGUGUCUGUCCUCCGAGAUUUGUUCACCGUUGUGCUGUGUUCCUGCAUAGCUCGCAGACUCCAGUCGCUGAGAUGAUAUUUGGGAUCUGCGUGUCUGGGGUGUCUCAGUGUCCCCGGCAGGCAGCUGUAAGUGCAGAUGCUGGUCCUGGGUUCUUGAAUUCGUAGAUGAUGAGCACGCGGCAUUUUGGAGUGAAGGGUCAGGUGAAGACAUUGACUCCAAACAGUUCAGCGGCAUCAGGAGUGCAUGACACGAAGCGCCGACUGGCGUUUCCUCGUCCUGAUGCUGCCGAGGCUCCUGGGCGCUUACGGAACUAAGAACUGGCGCCUGUGUCUGUUUCUGUUGAAGUAGAGGCGCUUGAGGCAUGUCCUGGUUCAUGUGUUCUCCCCGUAGAUCAAACAGUUGGUGUUCGGGCAAUCGUGGAUACUGCUCUGUUUGUCCAGAGAAACGGGGUAUCCCUGAAUCCGGUUCAUCGGUUGUCAUCUCUCGCUGCGGAGCCCGGAGCUCCAGCGAUUGCGAGAUUGGCUGUGUCGAGGGCAGUGAAGGCAACAUGGGAAGCACACCAAGCGGGUACGGCUGCCCCCACGAGUGCGCCGUGGAUCGUUGCGACGUGCUGGAUUCUCUGCGGGUUGGUGGCGCAGUCCAAAGACACGGAGUUCCAGUACGCUUGCAUACGUUUUUCGGUGCUGACGUAAGUGCAGCGGGAAAAGCCCAGGAUACUCCAGACGAUUGAGUAGGAAAAUUCACAUUCUUAUAUUGGGAUUGCAGCAGGCCCUGUUCGUUCUGCGUGUUCAAGAAGCAGUGCUUUCUGUACGUUUGUGGUUGAGAAAGUAGGUCAAACACGUGUUGGGUGCUUUGCCGGCUCAGUUGCAGCGGAACAGUUUGCUGGCCUCCAUUCUGUCCGGCUUCGAGAGCGGCGAUUGGCUGUGUGUACUUGAUAUAUGCAUUUUGCGACUGCACAUUGCUCGAAAAUUGAAUGUUCUGUUUCUUCCUGUUUUCCUCGAAAGGUUCCGCUACCUCACUGACAUUAUCAUACACCCCUUGCUUAGGGCCUAAUGCAGCCAGCUCCAGUAGCAGGCCGUGGGUAGACGCUGCGGCACGAGCCCUCACUUGUUGCAAUUUCUCCUCGCCCGUUCCAGAAGGAAGUGGAAAAGUCUGACCAUGUGAACACUGCGGCCCCUGGGAAAAAACCGUCUGUGCAGACACGGUUGUGAUUGGUGCAGUAUGUAUGUUUUCGUCGACAGCAGCUCGGGAUGCAGUCAGCGACGGCGCUUCAGACAGAUUCCUCGACACACCAUGGAAACAUUUGGCAGUGUAGGCUCCCUGCCGCCCAGAGGAUGUUUUCUUGAGCACGUCGGAGUUGGGGCCGCGUUGUUUUGUCGAUUGGUGGUCCUGCCAAUCUCUGAGGUGCCUUCCACCAAAUGACUCGAGAUUCGCCGUAGGAUGAGGGACAUGAGAUUGUAUCCGAUCUGUGGAGAGCCACAUUUUACCUUGGUCGCCAACUACGGGAGGGACGCCCAACAUGUCCGCAACCUCCUCAGUCCCUCGUGCCCUGGGGUAGUGAUUAUCCGGGCGCCGCAGAGCAGCCAAUUCCCACGGCAAAACUUCCUCUUCGGCCUGCGUAUUAGUCGUGUGACCUACGGAAGGAAGCGGUUUCUCAUGCGCAGCCACAGGAUCAAAGUCCCCAGGCGGGUGGAGGAGCGCAACCUCGAGCUCCUGUCUUUGUACCAGAGAAUCGUUCAAUGCGGCAGCCACUACACGAAUGCCAGCAACCACAAAGCGAACCACAGACAAAAGACAUUCGCAUUCACAAAACGCACUGCAGUAACUACGGACAACCUAGGGAGUGGAUGGUCCUCAACGGUCUCUGUCAACAUUUCGUUGCAGGGAAAUGCGUUUGAUCAAACGAUAAAAAUCGAUAUUGCCCGUCUUAUCUCUACGUGGCAAGUGAUUUCUAAAGAGGUGUUAUGCUAUUACCGGGAAGGGGAGUACGUUAAAUGAAAGAACUGAACUAAGUUUUCCGUCGCUACCAUCUGAAUAUAACGGGAUUUUGUAGGAAUAAUAGCUCGAUGCACACAACCUCGAGUUUGGUGUUACCCUUCUCAUUAAGCACACCGCCGCGAACAGGUUUUCGUGAGGAAACGAAGGAAUGUCAAGAUGUCGUUUCACCGGAAAGGGUUUACACUUGCCUGUCUGAUAUACGUUGAUUGCUCUUUGCACUGAUGAUCGCCAUGAGGACGUGUCGUCAAAAUCGGGUGCGUACACAUGACCUCUUCGGAGGCGACAAAGAAUACCCGCUUCUCCGAUCCAGUUCACCUUUUCCCACGUAUUGCCAGGCUCGCCAGUUGAAGCGCUAACCGCUCCUUCGAGAUCUGUAAUGUUGGCGAAAGGGGGACAGCCUCCUCGGCCGUAUGCAUGGGGAUCACGAGUGGAGAACCGUCUUGCAUCGACGCCACUUGCUGUGUUGCCUCUAGGCCGAAUUGGGAGACCUCUAAUGCUUUUAUCCCUAGAAACUCUUUUGGACGCGCU